CUACUGCCUAUAACGAAAGAUGGGGAUAAUGUGUACCUGUCCACUUCUUCUGACUUCCUUUCUUUUCUCUUGUGUUUUCAAGGUUCCAAACAUUAAUGUUGUAUUCUGUAAAUACAUGUGUGAGAAUGACUGGAUCCCUGUCCUGGACAGCAGUUGGCUUCACCCAGUUUCAACAAGAUGAAUAUUCCAAGACUGGCCUCGGGUGGCUCCUGCUCAUACUUCCAUAAGGAUAUUAAGUCAGAGGGCAAAUGAGAGACCAACUGACCAGGAAGGAAGACCAUGCCACAUCACUGGGAAGAAGGCGUGUUGGAAGGCAAGUGAGGGAGAAUGAAGGAGAGAAAAAUUGACAGGCGGUUAUUGUUAAGAAGGAACUGCAGUCCCACUAAACACCACAAGAAUCCAGCCAGGCAAAUAAACCGGGGGAAAUACUCGCUCUCCACAGGACAAAGGGUGAUAUCCUUAACAGGAAAAGAGCUCCUGCCAAAAGGAGGUGAGAAGAUGCCAAGAAGAACCGAGAAGCACCCAGUGCCGGAUUCACAUCAGUCUAGAGAGAAGAAAGGAUCCUGCACCAGACAAAUAUCACCUACUAGUCCCAGCCAUCACCACAUGGAGCGGAAGAAUCACCCAGCUGAUCCCCGUCCAGAUGCAGGGUUCACAACCUUAGGCGCUAUAACAAAAUUGUUGAGGUAAGCCACUAAAUUUGGAGGUAUUUUGUUGGGCAUCAGUAGAUGACUGGAAUGCUGGCCCUCGGAAUCCUCACCUGUAAAAUAAAAAAUUGAAUUCCACCGGACUCCGUGGCCUC
rnacentral:lncRNA from 1 species